rnacentral:lncRNA from 1 species
UGCAGGUGUUGGGCUUGUUCUCAGCUCACUGCCUUUAAUUGGAAGGAAUUUUAAUGACUUCAUGUGGCUUAGAUUGGAAGCAGUUAUAAUUAAUUCCAUGUGUGCAUGCAAGAUACAUGUGCAUGAGAAAGCCCUUGAUUGAUGAAUUCUUUCCUUGCAGAAAUGGAAGCCAACCCAGCACCAAUCUGGAUGAUACAGACUGAAUUAGUCUGUAGCUGUGAAGCCGACUCCAGCUAUUUCUGAGACUGUAAGAAGGUUCUUCACCAUGAUAUGCAUCAGUUUCUCCUCUCUGCAACAAGAGGAACUUGAGAAUGGAUUGCUGUGGCAUUGGUGGACUUCCCCUUGAAACCAUGGCCAGGCUGCAGACACACCUGGACCACUGACUUUAAUGUGUGAUUGGGAGCAAAGCCUUGAGGAUGAUGUUUAUAGACAAUUGCCCAGAGAUCGCUUCAUUGGGACUUUUGCAUUUGAAAAGCACCAAGAUUAUGGUUAAGGUGACCCAUUCAUCCGUCACCACGGAGAUCUUUUAG